rnacentral:rRNA from 1 species
ACGGGUGAGUAACGCGUGGGUAACCUGCCUCAUACAGGGGGAUAACAGUUAGAAAUGACUGCUAAUACCGCAUAAGCGCACAGGGCUGCAUGGCCCGGUGUGAAAAACUCCGGUGGUAUGAGAUGGACCCGCGUCUGAUUAGCUGGUUGGAGGGGUAACGGCCCACCAAGGCGACGAUCAGUAGCCGGCCUGAGAGGGUGAACGGCCACAUUGGGACUGAGACACGGCCCAGACUUCUACGGGAGGCAGCAGUGGGGAAUAUUGCACAAUGGGGGAAACCCUGAUGCAGCGACGCCGCGUGAAGGAAGAAGUAUCUCGGUAUGUAAACUUCUAUCAGCAGGGAAGAAAAUGACGGUACCUGACUAAGAAGCCCCGGCUAACUACGUGCCAGCAGCCGCGGUAAUACGUAGGGGGCAAGCGUUAUCCGGAUUUACUGGGUGUAAAGGGAGCGUAGACGGAAGAGCAAGUCUGAUGUGAAGGGCUGGGGCUUAACCCCAGGACUGCAUUGGAAACUGUUUUUCUAGAGUGCCGGAGAGGUAAGCGGAAUUCCUAGUGUAGCGGUGAAAUGCGUAGAUAUUAGGAGGAACACCAGUGGCGAAGGCGGCUUACUGGACGGUAACUGACGUUGAGGCUCGAAAGCGUGGGGAGCAAACAGGAUUAGAUACCCUGGUAGUCCACGCCGUAAA